rnacentral:misc_RNA from 1 species
AACGCAUAUUGCACCCGACAGGCUCGCUUGUCGGGUCUGCCUGUCUGAGUAUCAGUACGGACCCAAUCAACAAUGAAAGGUUAUUAAUUUAGCUGGACAAUGUUGUGUUGGUGCUCACCAGAGGUGCUCUUAGCAUCUUUGGUGGAUUUGAGUGUUCAGUCAUCAUUAUUUGGUUGAUCACUUGAAAUGUAUUGGUGUCGUCUAGCUGACAGUCGCCGCGUAAGCAUUGUUAAUCAUCUUUAUUGAUGUUCCUUGCUAUUACAUGGACCAACGACAAUAAGCAUCUAUUAGUACGAUCCAAGCACAAACUCCAAAUACUUGUAUUUAACCAUCUUGAUCUCAGAUCAGGCAGGAUGACCCGCUGAACUUAA